rnacentral:rRNA from 1 species
AACGAACGUUAGCGGUGUGGAUUAGGCAUGCAAGUCGAGCGCGAAAGUCCGCAAGGAUGAGUAAAGCGGCGAAAGGGUGAGUAACACGUAACCAAUCUACCCACGAGACCGGAAUAACCGGCGGAACGCUGGCUAAUGCCGGAUGGUCCUGUCGGGAGGCAUCUCCUGACACGUAAACGGUGGCGCAAGCUGCUGCUCGAGGAGGAGGUUGCGGGCUAUCAGCUAGUUGGGGGUACGGCCGUACCAAGGCGAUGACGGCUAGCUGGUCUGAGAGGACGACCAGCCACACUGGGAC